rnacentral:tRNA from 1 species
GUGGCUAUGGUGUAGCGGUAACACGUCUGUCUGUGGAUCAGGAGUCGAGGGUUCAACCCCCUCUAGCCACCCCA